AUAGAUACCCUGGUAGUCCACGCCCUAAACGAUGUCGACUAGGUGUUGGGGAAGGAGACUUCCUUAGUACCGCAGCUAACGCGUGAAGUCGACCGCCUGGGGAGUACGGUCGCAAGAUUAAAACUCAAAGGAAUUGACGGGGACCCGCACAAGCGGUGGAUGAUGUGGAUUAAUUCGAUGCAACGCGAAAAACCUUACCUACCCUUGACAUGGUCGGAAGCCCGAUGAGAGUUGGGUGUGCCCGAAAGGGAGCCGACACACAGGUGCUGCAUGGCUGUCGUCAGCUCGUGUCGUGAGAUGUUGGGUUAAGUCCCGCAACGAGCGCAACCCUUGCCAUUAGUUGCCACAUUCAGUUGGGCACUCUAAUGGGACUGCCGGUGACAAACCGGAGGAAGGUGGGGAUGACGUCAAGUCCUCAUGGCCCUUAUGGGUAGGGCCUCACACGUCAUACAAUGGCGCAUACAGAGGGUUGCCAAACCCCGGCGAGGGGGGAGCCCAAAUCCCCAGGAAAGUGCGUCGUAGUCCGGAUCGGAGU
rnacentral:rRNA from 1 species